rnacentral:rRNA from 1 species
GAUGAACGCUAGCGGCAGGCUUAACACAUGCAAGUCGAGGGGUAGAAGUUGCUUGCAACUUUGAGACCGGCGCACGGGUGCGUAACGCGUAUGCAAUCUACCUUAUACAGAGGGAUAGCCCAGAGAAAUUUGGAUUAAUACCUCAUAGUAUAAUUGAAUGGCAUCAUUUAAUUAUUAAAGUUCCAACGGUAUAAGAUGAGCAUGCGUCCUAUUAGCUAGAUGGUAAGGUAACGGCUUACCAUGGCAACGAUAGGUAGGGGUCCUGAGAGGGAGAUCCACCACACUGGAACUGAGACACGGACCAGACUCCUACGGGAGGCAGCAGUGAGGAAUAUUGGACAAUGGGCGCAAGCCUGAUCCAGCCAUGCCGCGUGCAGGAAGAAGCAUCUAUGGUGUGUAAACUGCUUUUGUACGGGAAGAAACACCCCUUCGUGAAGGGACUUGACGGUACCGUAAGAAUAAGGAUCGGCUAACUCCGUGCCAGCAGCCGCCGUAACAC